UAAUUAGCAGUUCAUUAGCAGAGCAGAUGUGUUAUGUGACAGCAUUAAUGAAAGUGUCUUUAGUGUCAGCGUCUCCUGCAGCUCCAGCAAGCCACGCCCAUAAUAUCUGCCAGCACUCAAAUGAAUGCACUGUACAGCGUGUGUGGAAGACUCCAAUACAAUUAUGAAGCGAUUAUUAAUCUUUCAGGAGAAGGGUCUCGUCACCGAGUACAGCACAGACAGCAAGGAUGAUAUUCCUGAGCAUGAACACACAAACCACUUGAACAGCUCGCUGACGUCCCUCUAUCAGAGAGCAGUGACCCCUCAGAAGAGGACUGGAGACAGAGAGCAGGAGAACAUCUUCAUCGAUCUGUGUGAGGAAAAGUCCUCCAGCCAGCAGUCUGUGUUUGUCAUGAGAUGCGGCUUAAAGUUUGACAUACAGUAACUGUUGAUG